rnacentral:rRNA from 1 species
AUGGGAACGCGAAGAACCUUACCUAGACUUGACAUCUUCUGCAUUAAUCGUAAUGGAUGAAAUCCCUUCGGGGACAGAAUGACAGGUGGUGCAUGGUUGUCGUCAGCUCGUGUCGUGAGAUGUUGGGUUAAGUCCCGCAACGAGCGCAACCCUUAUUACUAGUUGCUACCAUUAAGUUGAGCACUCUAGUGAGACUGCCCGGGGUUAACCGGGAGGAAGGCGGGGGAUGACGUCAAAUCAUCAUGCCCCUUAUGUCUAGGGCAACACACGUGCUACAAUGGUGAGUACAGAUAGAUGCGAUACCGCAAGGUGGAGCCAAAACUCUAAAACUCAUCCCAGUUCGGAUUGUAGGCUAGAAACUCGCCUACAUAGAAGCUGGAGUUGC